GCCAGGCCGACUGAGGGGCGCCGGCGGCGCCGCCACGGCGGCGUCGCCCGUCCCACCCGGGGGUUGCCUCGGGCUGUAAUGCCAUGUCCUUUUCUGCCGGAUCGGUGACGGUCCGGCAGCUUUUGCACUGGCGUGACCGCAGGAUUACAGCGCUCGUCACGCGCAACUUGUUAAAAUUCGGAUAAUCUCACCGGAUUAGACAGCCGGUUCAGCGUCUGUCUGCAUUGUUCCCCCAGACUUCGCAUAUGACCCAGCAACGCACCCUCAAGAACACCAUUCGCGCCACCGGCGUCGGCCUCCACAGCGGCGACAAGGUCU
rnacentral:sRNA from 1 species